rnacentral:rRNA from 1 species
UACGGGGGGGGCAAGCGUUGUUCGGAAUUACUGGGCGUAAAGGGCUCGUAGGCGGCCAACUAAGUCCGACGUGAAAUCCCAAGGCUUAACCUUGGAACUGCGUCGGAUACUGGAUGGCUUGAAUUCGGGAGAGGGAUGCAGAGUUCCAGGUGUAGCGGUGAAAUGCGUAGAUAUCUGGAGGAAUACCGGUGGCGAAGGCGGCAUCCUGGACCGACAUUGACGCUGAUGCGCGAAAGCCAGGGGAGCGAACGGG